rnacentral:rRNA from 1 species
UACGUAGGUGGCGAGCGUUGUCCGGAUUUACUGGGCGUAAAGGGCGUGCAGGCGGUUUGUUAAGUGCAGGGUGAAAGCUCCCGGCUCAACUGGGAGAGGUCCUUGCAUACUGGCGAACUCGAGGGAGGCAGAGGAAAGUGGAAUUCCCGGUGUAGUGGUGAAAUGCGUAGAGAUCGGGAGGAACACCUGUGGCGAAGGCGGCCCCCUGGGCCGGCCCUGACACUGAGACGCGAAGGCGUGGGGAGCGAACGGG